rnacentral:rRNA from 1 species
CCUGGUUGAUCCUGCCAGUAGUGAUAUGCUUGUCUCAAAGAUUAAGCCAUGCAGGUGCAAGUACGAGCCGCCCUAGGGCGAAGCUGCGAAUGGCUCAUUAAAUCAGUCUUGGUUUCUUUGGUCUUGAGAGCGAAAAUGGAUAACUGUGGUAAUUCUAGAGCUAAUACAUGCGUCAAGCGCCGACUUCGGGAGGCGCGCUUUUGUCAAUACCAAAACCGACCGGGUUCGUCCCGGCACUUUGGUGAGUCUAGACAACCACGCGGUUCGCAUGGUCUUCGUACCGGCGACGGAUCAUUCAAGUGUCUGCCCUAUCAACUUUCGAAGGUACGUUACGUGCCUACCUUUGUGAUAACGGGUAACGGAGAAUCAGGGUUCGAUUCCGGAGAGGGAGCCUGAGAAACGGCUACCACAUCCAAGGAAGGCAGCAGGCGCGCAAAUUACCCAUUCCCGACACGGGGAGGUAGUGACGAAAAAUAACAAUACAGGACUCUAACGAGGCCCUGUAAUUGGAAUGAGCACAGUCUAAAGGUUUUAACGAGUAUCCAUUGGAGGGCAAGUCUGGUGCCAGCAGCCGCGGUAAUUCCAGCUCCAACAGUGUAUGCUAAAGUUGUUGCGGUUGAAAAGCUCGUAGUUGGAUCUUGGCUGGGCGCCGCCGGUCCGUCGCAAGGCGUGUUACUGGCGGCGCUCUCCCCCGAUUUUCGGUUCGCCCGAUCGGUGCUCUUGACUGAGUGUCGUCGGUGGCCGAUGAGAUUACUUUGAAAAAAUUAGAGUGUUCAAAGCAGGCUCCUCGCCUGAAUAGUGUUGCAUGGAAUAAUGGAAUAGGACCUCGGUUCUAUUUUGUUGGUUUUCGGAACGUUGAGGUAAUGAUUAAGAGGGACAGACGGGGGCGUCCGUACUCUGCCGUUAGAGGUGAAAUUCUUGGAUCGGCGGAAGACGAACUACUGCGAAAGCAUUCGCCAAGAAUGUUUUCUUUAAUCAAGAGCGAAAGUCAGAGGUUCGAAGACGAUCAGAUACCGUCCUAGUUCUGACUAUAAACGAUGCCAACUAGCGAUCGGGAGGCGUUACCAUGACGACCUUCCCGGCAGCUUCCGGGAAACCAAAGUCUUUGGGUUCUGGGGGAAGUAUGGUUGCAAAGCUGAAACUUAAAGGAAUUGACGGAAGGGCACCAC